rnacentral:sRNA from 1 species
ACUAGAUUUUUCAUAAUUCUUCUAGCACUAUUUGUUAACAUUCUAAAUGAAUUUUUAUGAUAAUAAAGUCUGAUCUAAUCUAAAUCAUGAAAUUUGACGCCGUUUUCCAGAACUGGCCAACACUUGCACUACGUCAACGAAACGCAAAUACAACGUUCAACAUUCCAUCAAAAAGCAACGGGUCCAGUCCCUUGCACAUGGUGGCAAAAAAGAAUGACCAAUGACGACUUUGUGGUGAUUACAGGAGACUGAAUACAAUAACGACGCCCGGCAAUCCCCUCUUGCCACACAUUCACGAUUUCGGAUAACAUGGCGGCAAAAUGUUGUCAACUCAGUUGGAAAGCGUUGCUUUGCUGUGACUACAUACAAGAGACACUUCACCAAAUAUCCAAAAUUUUUCAUUGUUCCAAACUCUAAUUAAAACUCAUCAAUUAGUCACUGUAUCCAUUGUAUCAAUAUAAUUGUUGACCAAUUCGUUAUAUGAGGUUGAUUUGAUUGAUUUUUAAGUUUUUUCCAAAAAGCUAAUAAAUAUG